UGAAAAAGCAAGAGGUUUAUUUUCAGGCCUGUCGGGGUCGACCUUCAAUUAGUCCCUCAAGGAGAGUUACUAAGGAAGCCACACCGAAUGGCUAUUACAAGCAGUUUUUAUACUUUUUAGGAGCACAGGUUCAUCAGCAAGAUUACAGUUCCAACUUAUUGGCUAAGCAUAGAUCACUACAUCUAUUGGCUGGCAGGCACGACAGGAACUUGAACUCUACCUGGGACUUUUCGGACGGUCACUUAACUAU
ensembl:sense_intronic